rnacentral:rRNA from 1 species
AGUGAACGCUGGCGGUAGGCCUAACACAUGCAAGUCGAACGGCAGCACAGUAAGAGCUUGCUCUUACGGGUGGCGAGUGGCGGACGGGUGAGGAAUACAUCGGAAUCUACUUUUUCGUGGGGGAUAACGUAGGGAAACUUACGCUAAUACCGCAUACGGCCUACGGGUGAAAGCAGGGGAUCUUCGGACCUUGCGCGAUUGAAUGAGCCGAUGUCGGAUUAGCUAGUUGGCGGGGUAAAGGCCCACCAAGGCGACGAUCCGUAGCUGGUCUGAGAGGAUGAUCAGCCACACUGGAACUGAGACACGGUCCAGACUCCUACGGGAGGCAGCAGUGGGGAAUAUUGGACAAUGGGCGCAAGCCUGAUCCAGCCAUACCGCGUGGGUGAAGAAGGCCUUCGGGUUGUAAAGCCCUUUCGUUGGGAAAGAAAAGCAGCAGGUUAAUACCCCGCUGUUCUGACGGUACCCAAAGAAUAAGCACCGGCUAACUUCGUG